GACGAACGCUGGCGGCGUGCCUAAUACAUGCAAGUAGAACGCUGAAGGAGGAGCUUGCUUCUCCGGGUGAGUUGCGAACGGGUGAGUAACGCGUAGGUAACCUGCCUGGUAGCGGGGGAUAACUAUUGGAAACGAUAGCUAAUACCGCAUAAGAGUAGAUGUCGCAUGACAUUUGCUUAAAAGGUGCAACUGCACCACUACCAGAUGGACCUGCGUUGUAUUAGCUAGUUGGUGAGGUAACGGCUCACCAAGGCAACGAUACAUAGCCGACCUGAGAGGGUGAUCGGCCACACUGGGACUGAGACACGGCCCAGACUCCUACGGGAGGCAGCAGUAGGGAAUCUUCGGCAAUGGACGGAAGUCUGACCGAGCAACGCCGCGUGAGUGAAGAAGGUUUUCGGAUCGUAAAGCUCUGUUGUAAGAGAAGAACGAGUGUGAGAGUGGAAAGUUCACACUGUGACGGUAACUUACCAGAAAGGGACGGCUAACUACGUG
rnacentral:rRNA from 1 species